ACGAACGCUGGCGGCGUGCUUAACACAUGCAAGUCGAACGGUGAAGCGCCUUCCUUUUUGGUGGGUGUGGAUGAGUGGCGAACGGGUGAGUAACACGUGAGUAACCUGCCCCCUUCUUCUGGAUAACCGCAUGAAAGUGUGGCUAAUACGGGAUAUUCUGGGUCUGUCGCAUGAUGGGUCUGGGAAAGAUAUUGUUUCGGUGGGGGAUGGGCCCGCGGCCUAUCAGCUUGUUGGUGGGGUGAUGGCCUACCAAGGCGGUGACGGGUAGCCGGCCUGAGAGGGUGGACGGUCACACUGGGACUGAGACACGGCCCAGACUCCUACGGGAGGCAGCAGUGGGGAAUAUUGCACAAUGGGCGCAGGCCUGAUGCAGCGACGCCGCGUGAGGGAUGGAGGCCUUCGGGUUGUGAACCUCUUUCGCCAGUGAAGCAGGCCUGCCUCGUUUGUGGGUGGGUUGACGGUAGCUGGAUAAGAAGCGCCGGCUAACUACGUG
rnacentral:rRNA from 1 species